CCUACGGGUGGCAGCAGUGAGGAAUAUUGGUCAAUGGACGGAAGUCUGAACCAGCCACGCCGCGUGAAGGAAGACGGCCCUCUGAGUUGUAAACUGCUUUUGUCGAGGGGUAAAGCUGUCUUCGUGAAUUCAGCUGAAAGUACUGUACGCAGAAGGAAAGGCUAACCCCGUGCCCGCAGCCGCGGUAAUUCGGAGGGUCCAAGCGUUAUCCGGAUUUGUUGGGGUUAAAGGGUGAGUAGGCGGAUUGAUAAGUUAGAGGUUAAAUGUUCGGGCUUAACUCGGGAACUGCCGUUGAUACUGUUGAUCUAGAGAGUAGGAGAGGUAGGCGGAAUGCAUGGUGUAGCGGUGAAAUGCUUAGAGAUCAUGCAGAACACCGAUUGCGAAGGCAGCUUACCGGUCUAUAACUGACGUUGAGGCACGAAAGCGUGGGGAGCAAACAGGAUUAGAUACCCUUGUAGUC
rnacentral:rRNA from 1 species